rnacentral:rRNA from 1 species
AGAGGCUCAAGUUGACAGACAACGGCGUAAAGCGUGGUUAAGGAAAAUAUGUAACUAAAGCGGAACCUCCUCCUAGCUGUUAUACGCUUCCGAGGAAGUGAACCCCAACUACGAAAGUGGCUUUAUCCAACCUGAACCCACGAAAGCUAAGAAACAAACUGGGAUUAGAUACCCCACUAUGCUUAGCCUUAAACAUUGAUUGUUUACUACAUCAAACAUCCGCCUGGGAAUUACGAACAUUA